rnacentral:misc_RNA from 1 species
AGGCUUGAUCGGGCUGCAUUUGGAUCCUCCGGUGGCAUUCUCCUCGUGAGGUGUUGGCGGUAGCGUCCUUUGUAGCUCGUCUUGCCAUGGGACGACGCACGAGUGGCUUUUAGGAUACCUUUCCCAUGCAGGCUCCGUGUUCAUGGCAUCGAACUGCUUGGGUGUGUCCAUCUCAUUGGUGUGCUCGCGUCGACGCUCUUUGGGUCGGUUGCGGCUACUCCUUGGGUUCCUGUGCUUGAUAUCGGUUUCGAUAAUUGGUUGGCUAGUUGGUCCCGUUUCGGGUUCGUUGUUCCUCCUGUGCCUCGUGGGGCGCUGGUGGAUAUCGUGCGGGCAUCGACGUUUCCAUUCGGGUUGUUGCUCCCUCGGGGCGCUCCAGCUUGGGAUGGCGCGGAGAUGUCGGCAUCACUCUCGGGUGCGGAGAAGUUGUCGGUUGUUGCAUCGGUCCCCGUCGGCCUUUGUGAUAGUAUCGUAGGGAAGCGUUAUCGCUCCUGGUCGAACGACCCUCGUGCUCAUGCGAGAGCUCACGGAGCAUGUUGGUCCGGUGUUGUUCUCGUGGAGCCGUCGAGGUGUAAGAAGGGAUGUUACCUGGUUGAUCCUGCC